UAGGGAAUUUUCCGCAAUGGGCGAAAGCCUGACGGAGCAACGCCGCGUGUGUGAUGAAGGUCUUCGGAUCGUAAAACUCUGUUAUUAGGGAAGAACAAAUGUGUAAGUAACUAUGCACGUCUUGACGGUACCUAAUCAGAAAGCAACGGCUAACUACGUGCCAGCAGCCGCGGUAAUACGUAGGUGGCAAGCGUUAUCCGGAAUUAUUGGGCGUAAAGCGCGCGUAGGCGGUUUUUUAAGUCUGAUGUGAAAGCCCACGGCUAAACCGUGGAGGGUCAUUGGAAACUGGAAAGCUUGAGUGCAGAAGAGGAAAGUGGAAUUCCAGGUGUAGCGGUGAAAUGCGCAGAGAUAUGGAGGAACACCAGUGGCGAAGGCGACUUUCUGGUCUGAAACUGACGCUGAUGUGCGAAAGCGUGGGGAUCAAACAGG
rnacentral:rRNA from 1 species